CCUACGGGUGGCAGCAGUGGGGAAUAUUGCACAAUGGGGGAAACCCUGACCCAGCGAUGCCGCGUGAGUGAAGACGGACUUCGGUAUGUAAAGCUCUUUCAGCAGGGAAGAAAAAAGACGGUACCUGACUAAGAAGCCCCGGCUAACUACGUGCCAGCAGCCGAGGUAAGACGCAGGGGGCAAGCUUUUUCCGGAUUUACUGGCUGUAAAGGGAGCGUAGGCGGCGCGGCAAGUCGGAAGUGAAAGGCAGGGGCUUAACCCCUGAACUGCAUGUGAAACUUCCAUGCUAGAGUGCUGGAGAGGAAAGUGGAAUUCCUAGUGUAGCGGUGAAAUGCGUAGAUAUUAGGAAGAACACCAGUGGCGAAGGCGGCUAACUGGACAGUAACUGACGUUGAGGCUCGAAAGCGUGGGGAGCAAACAGGAUUAGAUACCCUAGUAGUC
rnacentral:rRNA from 1 species